UGGGGAAUAUUGCACAAUGGGCGCAAGCCUGAUGCAGCCAUGCCGCGUGUAUGAAGAAGGCCUUCGGGUUGUAAAGUACUUUCAGCGGGGAGGAAGGUGUUGUGGUUAAUAACCACAGCAAUUGACGUUACCCGCAGAAGAAGCACCGGCUAACUCCGUGCCAGCAGCCGCGGUAAUACGGAGGGUGCAAGCGUUAAUCGGAAUUACUGGGCGUAAAGCGCACGCAGGCGGUCUGUCAAGUCGGAUGUGAAAUCCCCGGGCUCAACCUGGGAACUGCAUCCGAAACUGGCAGGCUUGAGUCUUGUAGAGGGGGGUAGAAUUCCAGGUGUAGCGGUGAAAUGCGUAGAGAUCUGGAGGAAUACCGGUGGCGAAGGCGGCCCCCUGGACAAAGACUGACGCUCAGGUACGAAAGCGUGGGGAGCAAACA
rnacentral:rRNA from 1 species